GAUGAACGCUGGCGGCGUGCCUAAUACAUGCAAGUCGAGCGAACGGACGAGAAGCUUGCUUCUCUGAUGUUAGCGGCGGACGGGUGAGUAACACGUGGAUAACCUACCUAUAAGACUGGGAUAACUUCGGGAAACCGGAGCUCAUACCGGAUAAUAUUUUGAACCGCAUGGUUCAAAAGUGAAAGACGGUCUUGCUGUCACUUAUAGAUGGAUCCGCGCUGCAUUAGCUAGUUGGUAAGGUAACGGCUUACCAAGGCAACGAUGCAUAGCCGACCUGAGAGGGUGCGCGGCCACACUGGAACUGAGACACGGUCCAGACUCCUACGAGAGGCAGCAGUAGGGGAUCUUCCGCAAUGGGCGAAAGCCUGACGGAGCAACGCCGCGUGAGUGAUGAAGGUCUUCGGAUCGUAAAACUCUGUUAUUAGGGAAGAACAUAUGUGUAAGUAACUGUGCACAUCUUGACGGGACCUAAUCAGAAAGCCACGGCUAACUACGUG
rnacentral:rRNA from 1 species